AGUUGCAUCAAAUCGCUUCCACAAUUCAGUUGAACGUGAACGCUCCGCCAGUACAGAUGCAACCGCAGCAGCGCUAAGGCAAUUUGCAAUAACGACAACUGCACAGUUGCAAAUAAUAAUCACUUAUAGUGUUACAGUGCAAUGUUUUAUAAGCCGAGUAAUCGCAUAACUUUUGUAAAAUAAGUACGAAAUGAAAAUUCAAUGCGAAAUUCGUUAAUGGAAACUCACAAAGAAAUGUUGAAGUGCCAAAAUAAUUGACGUAUCGCAGUGUGUGCUAGUAUGUAGUCACUUUUAGACCAACAAAAAACAUUACUAACAGCAUAAUAAUGUUUGUAGUAUUUGCAUUUAACAGUGUUGAUAAGAAGUGUGCUUAGUUUCCCCUCAGCUGAGGCAGUAAACUGUUAUGUUAGGGCACUUAGGUUAGUUAUGUUAUUGCCAAGGGACAUCGAAGAAAUGGGAAAAGUUAUUCCAAACUAGUUAAUGAAGUUACAAUAAAAAUUUACGCGGUUUAUCGCUGUUAAUACCCGAAAUUAAAAAAAAACAAAAAAAUAAAACAACAAAACAACAAAACAGUACUAAAGAAAAUAUAGUUUCGAUACAGUUCGAGUUGUGGAUCGACUACAAUCAACUUAACGCUAACGUCCAUCAACCAACCGCCUAAUCUAAGUAAAUAGCCGUCAAAAUGUUGGCCAUGUCACAAGGUUUCUUCGAUAAUCCAUAUGCUCAAAUACGUGCGCCAACAACAACGAUGCGCCCACCACAUGGUGACAGUCCGCUCAACACCACAUCGGCGCUCGAUUUGCAGACAUCGAGCCGAGCACAGGUGCCGCCACCGCCACCGCCGCCGCCGAGGUAAGGUUACACCCAGCGGCGUGAGAAAUUAAACAAAACAAAUGACACAUAAAAUUGAAAUAAAACAAAAUAAAGAAAUUUGAGAUUGGUUGGCAAAAUAAAGGUUGUCUUCGCCGAAACAUCUCUGCAAUCAACAUUUUAUGAAUAAAAAAUUAUUUGGGGAAAGAGAGAGAGAGAUAUCGGCAAUUACUACAAUCAACAUUUGCAUAAAAACCUCUUUGUACGAAUUUCUCUAAACUUUUUGACUAAACUCACAAGCGCUGAAGUUUCUCUUAAAAAAUCGAAGCGAAAAGUUUGGAAAUUUAAGUAUUAGUAAUAAAACAUCCCAAACGACUUCAAUUAUAGAGCUAAAGGCAACUUAUGUAUACGUAACUCAUAAUCGAAUUUCGAAGCAUUUUUUGAUGAAAUUAAAUGUAUUCAAUCUCGCAUUUUACCAGCUUUCAUCCAUACACAUAUGAAUUUGUAGUGAAAAUAUAUUUUUUUAAUAGUUGAAUGACAAAUAAAUAUAAAUUUUGGUUGGUACUAUCUAUAUAUAAAUAAAUAUAUGUGCUGCGCUGAAAUUCUAAAAUACGUAGCUUAGCUAAGAUCAAACCUUAUCUCGAUAGUAUUGCAAUAUAUAUAUAAAUAAUUUUAACCUAAUAUAAACAACUUUGAUUUAGCAAAUUUUGAAUAUUCAGUGCUGUAUAAACAAUUUUUAAAGGACUACAUGACCCACUAACAUACUUGGUAAAAGCAAUUUUAGACUAUAAUAUUAAGUGAAAUAUAAGCUUAAAUGUAGAAAUAAUGACAUAAUGGUAAUGGUAUUAACUGCUUUAAAAAUUUAAUGCCAUAAUUAGUUUAGACGAAUUUACAAAAAAUUAAGUAAAAAUAUACAUAUUUUCUACAGAGUUAGUGGUAAUCUCCAUUUAAUGGUAAACAAAUUAUUCAGAAUUGUACAAAAAAUAAAAAAGUAAGUAAAUAAAAAAUAAAUUAACAAAAUUUAUAAAAAGCAUAUAUAAAAACCUGAAUAAAUUAAAAAUACAAUUAAAUUAGGUAAAUUACAAAAAUUCUUUAACUAACAAAAAAUAUAAAAAAUAAUUCAAAUUCCAAAGGAAAAAUAAUCGUAAAAAAUAUUAUUGAAAAUAAAUAUAGACAACAAAUAAAAAACAAAUAUGUAUAUUGUUUCACCAAUCUGAAGUAAAAAAGCUCAAUUAUUCGUACUAUUUAUAUGAAACUCCAUUAAAGCUAAAAAAGUGAACAAAUCAUUGGUGGCUGUUUUUUUUUUUUUUUUUGUACAAUUAUUAGAUAGCAUAAAAAUAGAAAAUUCGGCAUGCCCAAUGCUCAUGGAAUGUCGUAGAUCAGUCUUAUUAGCAUUUCAAUGUUAGUUCGCUGAAUUUCGAAAAAUGAACUCAAAUGAAACAUUAUAAAAAGCAUUGGGACAGUUUGAGUUGAGACAGAUGAGCUGAGUUAAUUUAGUCGUUGAUAUCCGUCUGUCUGUCAGUCUGUCUGUAUAUAUACAAACUCGUCUUUCAGCUUUUAAGCUAUCUAUUUGAAAUUUUAUAUCUGUCCUUUCCUCAAAGGAGCUGCUCAUUGGUCAGAAUGGUCAAUAUCUGACCGCUAUAACAUAUAUCUGCCAUACAAACUGAACAAUCGAAAUCAAGUACUUGUAUGAGAAACUUUUUUAUUUGACGUAAUAAUGUAAUCUCCGAAGAAAUUGUUUAGAUUGGGUCACUAUAGCAUGUAGCUUCCAUAGAAACUAAUCGAUUGGAAUCAAGUAGCUCUUUAAUUUGACGAGGUAUCUUGAAAAUUUGGUACGGAUUAUUAUUUAAGGCAAUAAUCCAACUCCGAAGAAUUUUGUUCAGAUCAGAGCACUAUUUCGCAACCGAAGAUAACAUUUUUUCUUGUUCUGGAGUGUGAUUGGCUGACGUCAUUUCGGGAACUGUUAGCCUUAACUAAGAUAUCAUACAAUUAUCAACAUUUUAGUCUGUGGAUUGGUAGGAUUUAUUUUUGGAAUCACUUUUUAGUGCAUUUCCUACCAUUAAUCGUUUCAUGCUGAAACAGUGUGCCAUAAUAGAUUGUAAAUAACCCUUUCACGCUGUUUACUCAAGUGCAUGUUGCAUGUCAAGUGAGAACUGAAAGUUCAUUCAAGAUCCCAUUUUUUUAAAUUAUUCUUAUUGUACAUACCGACAUAAAUUUAAAAUACAUAAAACAACAUUAUAUACAAUUAAAACUGAAAAAAAAUAAUAAUAAUCGAAAUAUAUUAUUAGAUAUAUAUAAAAUACAAACAAUAAGUAUAAAAGCUUAUUAAGUGAAAACAAGUCUUUAUUCCAAAACUAUGUCAUUUACAACAAAUAAAAGCUAAUCAAACAAUAAAAAUUUAAAUACAAUUGCGAUAUAAACCAAUAAUUUACUGAUCAUUAGUUGUAAAAAAUGUAAAAUAUUACUACGCUAUUAUAUGAGAGUUGUAAGACAAAUGUCAAUAGUAAAUCAUGCCAAUAUUUAUUAUAGUAAUUAAUAAAUAUAUAUACUAUUUAUAGUACAAUUCACUUACACUCAUAUGUAUAUAAUUACGUGUGUAAGCUCAUAGCUAAUUUAGGAUUAUCAAACGCCACAAUAUAUACGAUAAAUUCCUAAAAAGCCAUAAAAGCGUUGUAAAAAUAUUUGAAUACUUGUAUUUGAAACAAUAGUUACCAUAGGUGACACAAGCAGUAAGCUUUGUAUAUUUAUUACUUACCAUAUUACAUUUUAAAUUCCAUUAAAUAUAAAAUGAAAUGCGAUUAGAAAUUAGGUGUUAGCAGUAAACAUAUUAAUUAGCAUUUAAAAAUCGUGAAUUGGUAUUAAAUUAUUUAACCCAGUAUUUUAAAUAAUAUUCAUAUAUCUAAAUGAAUACUUAUUCUAUUUAUAAAAUAUACAAUUCAAAGUUAUCCAGCUCAAUAUAAUCCCAAUACAUAAAAAGUUUGUAGAAUAAUAUUUGUGGCAAAGUGGAAGAGUAAACUAGUAUAAAGUAGUUUAUAAUCUAAAUCUUUUAUAUACGGCUUUUCUCAUAUGAACAUGUAUAUAACAUAUAAUCCAUUAAUCAUAUCAAUAUUUACAAUAAUCAUAUCUAAAUUUUUCAAUAUUUUUAAAAUAGCAAAUCAUUCGUAAGAUAUUAAUAUAUAUAAAAGUUUGGUCGUACGUUCCAACCAGAAUUAAAGGAAAUAUUAUAAACGAAUAAAUUAUUCUAUUAUAUAUUAGACAGCACUCAUUUUCGCAAGAUAUUCUAGUAACAAAGUAACGGCAUUAAUAAACUUAUGUUAAAUGUAUUUAUUAACUAAAACUACUCACAUAUAUAAACGCUAAUGAAUAACGUAAAAUCUGCUGAAUAUAGAAAUUCAUCCGUAGCAGACAGACAAAACAGAAUAUCAAAUCAAAAUUUUACUUAGAAUUAUCUGUGUAUAUAUCUCGUCUUUGUCUUUGUGCUCAAAUUCGAGAGAUAUAUUUUUUUUGUUUUUUAAUAAUAAGCAAUCUCAAUCGUUUGAAAUAUUGAGAUUAUAUUUCAACAUUCCGCAGGAAACAUAGAUAAAAUGAUCCGAAACUCCUCUCUUUGCUUUCUGAGAGAGCUCAUAAACUUUCAGUGCUGCCAAAAAAAACCACGAGUCCAUGAGCUACUGAACAGAUGACAACCAAAACAAUGAACUACCACUAAAAAUUCCGCAGAAAUAAAAUGCGAAAUCAGUGGGUAAUUUGUGAGAUCAGAUUUUUUGGUGACUUAUACGUAUAUUUCUAAUCUUUAUUUAAAGAGUUUUAAUAUAGCUUUGAUUUUAAAAAAGAGCGUGUAUUUUGUCGCAGAGUAUUGUUUUGCUUAGCAGUACCAAUUGCCAACGUAUAUACAUAUUUAAGCUAGAAUUCCCAGCAAAUGUUAUGUAAACUUUGACUUCCGAAUAAAUUAUCGAAAUAUAUUUGUUUAUUCAGUAUAUAAAAACUAAGUAAUGUUCAUGUUUAGCUUAUUUAAAACUCGAAAGUGUUUUGAAAUAUUAAAAUAUUUUGUUAAAAUUAGUUCUAUAAGUUAAUUUAGAAAAUAUUUUGUGAUUAAAAUAUACACGUACAUAUAUUUAAAAGUCAUAUAGGAUAUCUAGCAUGUUAAACUAAUUUUAAUUAUGUAUAUUUUUCUGUAAAAUGGAAACCUAAAAAUACCCAAGAAAUACAUUUAAAAAUCUCAAAAAUUAUUUCUUCCCUUAAUGGCACUACUGUCAAAUGUUAUAAAAAAUGUGGACUUUGACAGCGCUCUCUCAAAUCAAAGAGUUUCGGAUAAUUUUAUCCAUGGCUGGAAACUCUGUAGCAGAGAUAGAGAGAUGACUAACUUUCCUAUCAAAUCAAAAACGUAAAUCACCUAUCCGACUUUGACAGUUGACUGCAACGGGUAGGUUUGACGUUUAGCAAUAUUGGAUGAAAUAUUUUGAUGCUUCAGGGUUUCAAUUCACAAUUGAAAAUGUUAAAAAAUAAGAAAAAAUUAUUAGUUGACAGUUAAAAAGUUUAAUACACUUUAUUUAUUAUUGAAAUUAUUACUUUGUCGCACCGAAUCUUAAAAAAAUAUUUAAAUAGCUACUCAACAUAUUUAGCGGCCAAUACACUUAAAAAUUUUUAAUCGUAAUAAAUGAUUAGUGUUAUAAUUUAACAGCCCAAACAUGAUGAAUUUGUCUAAUUUGGCAACAGUGUAAAAUGUCAUAGAAAAUUAUAAUUUUGAGGCGCUCUCACACUGGAAAGAAGUAGACCUCCCCUUUAUCCCUACAACAUAAUAAAUUUCUUCAAGAAACAUGCAAAGACAUGUUCUAUAAAUUUACUCUAGUAAUUAACUUCAAAACCCCAAGAAUUGUUAUUUGUGCUCCCCGAUUUUAGUUGAACCACUUUCUAAAAUUUAUUGGUGAAUGUAAAAUCUAUAUUUCUCUAUCUAGGCGAAUCUUCUAUGGAAUAUAAAGUUCGUUAAAAGAUCAAGAGAUGUGUUUAAAAUCAUAUCCUCCUUGAGCGAGCUUCAUUGCUAUUAAAUUAUCGAUAAUUUUUAUUAAAAAACGUAAUACGUUUUACAAAAAGAAAAUCAAAUAUUAAUCAAGUACUUUGCAUAAAACUAGUGGUUUAGAUAAAUAUGACAUAUUCUGAAAGCGUUUAAUAAAUGGUUUGAAAAAAUUGCAUUUAAUAUAUUAGUGGCUAUUUAUCAUGAAUACUAAUAUGGUAGUAAGUUUAUAACUACAAAUAAUAAAAAACAAUAAUUUGCAAAUUAGUGCAUUACAACGAUUAUAAAACUAUAAAAAUCACAAUGUAUACGAUACAGUGCUGCUUAAUAAUUCGUAGAAUAACAUAUAAAAUACUACUAACCAAAAAUUCACUACUACUUACAGUAAAACAAUAAUAUUUAAAUAAAAAAAACUUACCUGCAAAAAAAAGUUUCACUACUAUAAUAUACAAAUUAGAAAAUUCAUUUCUAGU